AAGACUUUAAGUUAACCAAACUAAAAACCUUCAAAGUUUUAAAUGACAUAAGUCAAGUCUUG
rnacentral:tRNA from 1 species